rnacentral:rRNA from 1 species
UACGUAGGGCGCAAGCGUUAUCCGGAAUUAUUGGGCGUAAAGAGCUCGUAGGAGGUUUGUCGCGUCUGCCGUGAAAGUCCGGGGCUCAACUCCGGAUCUGCGGUGGGUACGGGCAGACUAGAGUGAUGUAGGGGAGACUGGAAUUCCUGGUGUAGCGGUGAAAUGCGCAGAUAUCAGGAGGAACACCGAUGGCGAAGGCAGGUCUCUGGGCAUUAACUGACGCUGAGGAGCGAAAGCAUGGGGAGCGAACAGG